rnacentral:rRNA from 1 species
UACGGAGGGGGCUAGCGUUGUUCGGAAUUACUGGGCGUAAAGCGCACGUAGGCGGCUUUGUAAGUUAGAGGUGAAAGCCCGGAGCUCAACUCCGGAAUUGCCUUUAAGACUGCAUCGCUUGAAUCCGGGAGAGGUGAGUGGAAUUCCGAGUGUAGAGGUGAAAUUCGUAGAUAUUCGGAAGAACACCAGUGGCGAAGGCGACACACUGGCCCGUUACUGACGCUGAGGCGCGAAAGCGUGGGGAGCAAACAGG